UUUUAUAACAGUUUGGGACAAUUUUGUUAAAAUGUUGUUAAGUUUCAGUUGGGGCACAUACAACACUACCAGCCAUGUUUAAAUGUGAAUGGGUAAAUGAGAUAUGUUAGAUGUUACUGGGAUUGGGGUCACCAUAACCUGUGCUGCAGCCUGCAGUGAUGGGGUGAAGGAAGCCUGGGAAAGAUAAAGAAAGGAAAAGAGUGAGGGAUGAGGAAGACAAUGAAAAAGAGGAAGCAGCAUCGGCAUCUAGGAGCACUCCUAUGGUGGUAUGAACUCAACCAAGGGUCUGUAUGUUUGUUUCCUCUCCAAAAGAGCUGUAAUGCUGCAGAGCUUCGCUAUCCAGUCCCAGAGGAGCAAUUGCCUCAGCUGGGAGAUUCAACCUGACCUGCAGGCUGAAUUCCAGCAAAUAAUUCGGAGUUCCUGUAAAGCAGACCCUUUCUUUCUGUAGGAAAGAGAGAACUGGAAGUGAAGGCUGCCAAGAAUUCGUUUUUGGAGAGAGUGGAAAAUUUAUGGAGUUUGAUUAGAUGAUUAAGAACCAAACUAUGGCACAGAAAUAUAUCUUUCUUGUUUUGUUUUUUAAAUGCUUUUAAGAAUGUAAGUGUGAGUUUUGAUUAAAUAACAUCAUUGG